rnacentral:lncRNA from 1 species
GAGGCCCAAAACGACGCCGCGGUAGCAGCAGAGACUCCACAAGAAACACAACCACAGGCACAAUGUUCACAACCACCGGAACCUCAAGUUAUCAGCGGCAACUUUGCUAAUCAAACGCUUAAUAGGAACCGUACACGCGGCUCAAGAUCCGGGAGGCCACGAAAAUUCCCCCGGUCUCACUCAACCGGGCAUUCCUUGGUCCAACCAGGUGAAGAUACCGAGCGGU